rnacentral:rRNA from 1 species
AGGCUUAACACAUGCAAGUCGAGGGGCAGCGCGGGGCGGCAACGUCCUGGCGGCGACCGGCGGAAGGGUGCGUAACGCGUGAGCGACAUGCCCGUUGCCCGGGGACAACCGGUGGAAACGCCGACUAAUCCCCGAUGGGACGGAGGCCCUCAUGGGUCUCUGUUGAAAGUUACGGCGGCGACGGAUUGGCUCGCGUCCGAUUAGCUAGUUGGCGGGGUAACGGCCCACCAAGGCUACGAUCGGUAGGGGUUCUGAGAGGAAGGUCCCCACACUGGAACUGAGACACGGUCCAGACUCC